CAUGGACAUCCUAGAAGGCCCCGACAGGGUGCACAGAAUCAGGAAUUGUCUGUGAAAUGUCUGGAAUCAAAAACCACUUUAAUGCCAAGUCUGAUUGUGUUUGUGAGGGACAAUUUCAGAUGAAAGCUGAUGGAUUUAUCACAGGGGAUGGACUUUGCAAGGACUGAGAGUCUUGGGCAUUACAGGUUUGGAAUGAGGAUGGUUUUCAGGUGGUAAAUGCCAGGAAUGAUCAAUAAUUGUUUAAAUCUGUAGGGUUUGCAGGUCUAAGGCCAUUACCUGUCUGUGCCAUCCUUUUGCUGCUAGUGGAUGUGCUGCAGAUCUGUCCCCCUUCAAAUGGAAUGGCAGGAGGGAACUCUGGACGAAGGCAGUUCCUAAAACAAGAGGCUGCUCAUACAGUAGAAUAUCUGUUCUAAAGAAGUGCAGUGAGUUUCUGGAGAUGACUGAAAACUUUCCCAUGUCAUGGAGUUGCUGGGUAAACUUUCCUGGCUUGGUGGUGGCUGUAUUGGAUUGAAUUGCUAUGGAGAAGCAGCAGGAAUACUGGAAUGGAAAUGUAAAACUUACAUUGUACAGGAAGGGGAUGUGUUCCAGAACAACACAGAAAGUUCGGCUGAGAUGAGAUUGUGUAACACUUCUGCUGGAAGACUUCUUACCCCACUCCUGUGCUUCAUCUGUGUGUAGAUAAUUCUUACUAAAUAAAGGAUUUAUCUUUGUGAAUAGAA